GUCUAUGGCCAUUCCACCCUGAACAAGCCUGAUGUCUGAUCUCAGAAGCUAAGCAGGGUCCGGUCUGGUUAGUACUUGGGUGGGAGACCACCUAGGUGCUAUAGGCA
rnacentral:rRNA from 1 species